rnacentral:rRNA from 1 species
AUUGCACGCUGGCGGCAGGCCUAACACAUGCAAGUCGAGCGAGCGGCGGACGGGUGAGUAAUGUAUGGGGACUGCCCGAUAGAGGGGGAUAACUACUGGAAACGGUAGCUAAUACCGCAUACUAUCGGAUAACCCAUAUGGGAUUAGCUAGGAGGUGGGGUAACGGCUCACCUAGGCGACGAUCUCUAGCUGGUCUGAGAGGAUGAUCAGCCCACAUGGGAAUGAGACACGGCCCAGACUCCUACGGAGGCAGCAGUGGGGAAUAUUGCACAAUGGGCGCAAGCCUGAUGAAGCCAUGCCGGGUGUAUGAAGAAGGCCUUAGGGGUGUAAAGUACUUUCAGCGGGGAGGCGUUACCCGCAGAAGAAGCACCGGCUAACUCCGUGCCAGCAGCCGCGGUAAUUC